CAGCUGGCAGCCCGGGCCGGGACCCCAGCGGCUUCCCGAGGCCUCGAGGCUGGAGGCAGGGCCUGUCCCCUCGCCCCCACGCUGGGGCUGUGGAGGGCCUGGCCCACAUCCGUGUUCCAAAACUGGGUCUCUUGUCCCCUCAGUCCCUCCGUGGCCAAAGGGGUCUCUGGGAGUCGGGGUGGGCCAGCUGGGAGGCGACCACACACCGAGGCGCCCAUUGGCGCGUGCGCACUGUUCUGGCACGUGCGCACUGUUCUGGCACGUGCUUGCUGGGCGGGGCUCCGGGAGGCCGCCCCUCCCCCUUUGCCUGGCAACCAGAAUUUUGGGCAGGGAGAGCGGCUUGGCCAUAGACAGCCUGCGGGAGGCCCGGUUUGUGCUGCCGCGUGGGGCCUCGAGGCGCGUUGUCAGGCAGCUUCACUUGGCUAACACCUCCUGCCCUAGGAGGAGCAGGUGUUGGGGAGUCGUGGUCGAAGCCGGCUCCCAGGGAAAGAGCCAGGGCAAGCAUGCAGGCCCGUGCCGGCGGCUCCGGUGUUGCGGGUGGCCAGGAAGAUGGCCAGGGUGGCAGCAGAAACCUUAAUGGCCAGGGUGGCGCCGGAAACCAGGGUGGCGUGGGCUCAGCAGGCGUCUCUGGCGACUAUGAUGGCACAAACGCGACAGCCGUUUCGCCGAUUGCUCUUGUACCUAACAGCAGAGGGCAGAUUGUCCUGAUGUCUACUUGCCCGGCGAUGCGUCGACACGCACUCACCCUCAGGGUGCUUUUCGGGUCUCCCAUCGAGGCGGAGGUCGCCCAAGGAUUCCUGGCUAUUUUCGACGAAUACCCCAGCAUUGACAGGGAGCUCACCAUGACCGGCAGCAUUCUGGUUGUGUCAGUCCUGGGAGGGUUUGGCUUUGCGGGGAGGGUGGCCAAAGUACAAGGAGGG
rnacentral:lncRNA from 1 species